GGGGGUUUAGCUCAGCGGUAGAGCGCUUGCCUAGCAAGCGCAAGGCCCUGGGUUCGGUCCCCAGCUCCG
rfam:Rattus norvegicus chromosome 2, whole genome shotgun sequence.